UACGGGGGGGGCAAGCGUUGUUCGGAAUUACUGGGCGUAAAGGGCUCAUAGGCGGCCAACUAAGUCAGACGUGAAAUCCCUCGGCUUAACCGGGGAACUGCAUCUGAUACUGGAUGGCUUGAGUUCGGGAGAGGGAUGCGGAAUUCCAGGUGUAGCGGUGAAAUGCGUAGAUAUCUGGAGGAACACCGGUGGCGAAGGCGGCAUCCUGGACCGACACUGACGCUGAUGCGCGAAAGCCAGGGGAGCAAACGGG
rnacentral:rRNA from 1 species